CGGGGAGCACCACAACGGGUGGAGCUUGCGGUUUAAUUGGAUUCAAACGCCGGAAAUCUUACCGGGACCGACAGCAAUAUGAAGGCCAGGCUGAAGACUUUGCCGGAUUAGCUGAGAGGUGGUGCAUGGCCGUCGUCAGUUCGUACUGUGAAGCAUCCUGUUAAGUCAGGCAACGAGCGAGACCCACGCCCACAGUUGCCAGCGUACUCUCUGGAGUGACGGGUACACUGUGGGACCGCCGCUGCUAAAGCGGAGGAAGGAAUGGGCAACGGUAGGUCAGUAUGCCCCGAAUAUCCCGGGCUACACGCGAGCUACAAUGGUUGGUACAAUGGGUAUCUACCCCGAAAGGGGACGGGAAUCUCCUAAAACCAAUCUUAGUUCGGAUUGAGGGCUGCAACUCGCCCUCAUGAAGCUGGAAUCCGUAGUAAUCGCGUUUCAACAGAACGCGGUGAAUACGUCCCUGCUCCUU
rnacentral:rRNA from 1 species